GAUGAACGCUAGCGGCAGGCUUAACACAUGCAAGUCGAGGGGCAGCGCAGAUAGCAAUAUUGGGCGGCGACCGGCAAACGGGUGCGGAACACGUACAGAAUCCACCUUGAUCUGGGGCAUAGCCCGGAGAAAUCCGGAUUAACUCCCCAUAACAUAUAUGAGUGGCAUCACUUGAAUAUUAAAAUUUAUUGGAUCGAGAUGACUGUGCGUCCCAUAGCUAGUUGGUAGGGUAACGGCCUACCAAGGCGACGAUGGGUAGCUGGUGUGAGAGCACGACCAGCCACACGGGCACUGAGACACGGGCCCGACUCCUACGGGAGGCAGCAGUGAGGAAUAUUGGUCAAUGGACGCAAGUCUGAACC
rnacentral:rRNA from 1 species